GAGAAGGUGACCUGACUCAACUCCAUUGUUGGCAGCUGCUCUGAAAGUGGAAAUCAGGACAGCAGAGGACGUCAGGGAGUUCAUCUCACUGGUCGCUGGUGUCUGCGGCUUGGCUUGGCUGUUUAUAAAUGCCCCUAGCAGCAUCCUCGGCUCUCCCCACACCCGUGCCUUCUGUUGCCUCCUGGAGUCCCAGGGCCCUGCCCCGCCACACCCGCUCCUGUUCCGCCCAGGUCACCGAGUCUGCUCCCUGCCUGCCCUUGGUGUCCAGGACUCUGCUCUCCUCCCCUGCGGUUCGGGGUAGAUGCUCAGGAGGUUUGGCAUAAGAAACUUCGCCUCCUUUUCCGGUCCUCUUCCUGCCACGCCGACAACAGGCAUUUCACGUUUCCAGCCCAUCUUCACACUGCAUCUCUGCAGGCUGUCAGCUCCGAGAGCAGGUGAGCCCUGCAGAGAGACCCAAACAGGACACACAGACAGGUGUGGAUGGAGACAGGAGAGGACUCCCUGGGCUGCCCCCGCACCUGGCUGCCAACCUGUCACAACUGAGCCUGGGCUGAGGAUCUGGCCCUGGAGAUCAAGAACCUUCCAGACCUUCGAUUAGAAGCCUCAUCCCCGUGGAGCGUACACAAGCCGUACAGGCGUGGGCCAGAGCUCAUGUCUCUGCUGCACCAAGCCCAUUUCCUCAGCUGUCCCGAGGUGGCAAGGUGUUUGUUAUCGGCUCCUGGGAGGCACCGCCGUGGCCUGGGGCAGACUCUGACUUCUGGUUCUGAGUUGACUCAGGCCGGAGGGACUGGC
ensembl:lncRNA